AGAAGAGUCAGUGCUCUGAGGAGAUGCCCAUGAGAAACACCAAGAAGGUUUGGAACUUUUGUGAUAAGGAGAAAACUGUAUGGAGCCCCUGCAAUAAGCUUUUGUGUUGCUGAAACUCUCAUUCACCUGCUGCCUGUGUGUAUGAAGAGAACCAGACAGAAAAAUUCAUUUCAGUCCCCUGAGGGAAGUUGUGCAAGGUCUGAUUUCCCUCCCAGUGUCACUGUGCCUCUGCUGUGUGCUUGAUGCCACAGCUCAGGCCCUGCACAGAACACUCAGGGGGGAAGGAGGCUGGAAUUGCACCCAGGAUAAACACAGAUGCCCUGGGAAUUGCUGUAUCUAUGGAAUGCCUGUGAUGGGGCCCAGAUCCCAGCCCAGGAGGUUCUUUCCCUUGGUCAGCACUGGAAACACAGAGGGGAAAGAUGAGAAAUCAAAGAAAAGGAGGGGAAAAAAAAAGGACCGACCCAGUUCCUGUGUUGCCUGCUGCUGCUUUGCUGCUUUCCCUUUCACCAGGAGGCAGGAAAGAGCAAGGAAAGUGGGUUUGUCCCUUCAGCUUUUCUUGAGUCAUAUGAGAAGGGGCUGAACAUACGUGGUCUGUCCUGGCUGCAGAGCUCAGAUGUGUAAGUUUGCCCACGUAAAGGGGGUUGCUGUUCUGGCAUCAUCAUUCCCCACUCUGUGCCAGCCCCACUCCCCAGGCCAGGAGCAGGAGCUGCAGGUGCCUGUGGUGCCUUGGUGAGCAGAAAGUGUGAGCCCAGGCUCUGCUGGUGGGGGAGAGCCAAGGAGAAUCAGUGUCCCAGCUCUGGAAGUGUCCUACAAGUCUGGCUUGGCAUAAAUCCUGGGCUAAGCUCUGCUUUCCUUGUGCUUUGCCUAGCACAUCAAAGGUCUCUCAGUUUAACAAGAACCAAGCCCAUGGGGAGUGUUUACAGAUCUGUGCUGUCUCUCUGAGGCAGAGCUGCAUUUUUUCUGCGCCUAGUCCAUGCAACAAAUUGCUUGGAAAGCAGAAAGUUCAGGGAAGCACCUGCUGCUCUCACCUGCUCUUGUAGUGAAUGAAACCCAAGUGUGCUAUGAAUCCUGAUAAGAAAAUGACCUUCUGUAACUAUUACAUUAGUCAGUCUCUAUAGUAUGAGACUCUAUUAAGUUUGUUAAUGUGUAUUAGUUCAUGUUGUAC